rnacentral:rRNA from 1 species
GACGAACCGUGCGAACGUUGUUCGGAAUCACUGGGCUUAAAGGGCGCGUAGGCGGGCCGCCGCGUCCGGGGUGAAAUCCUCCCGCUCAACGGGAGAACGGCCUCGGAUACGGGCGGCCUGGAGGGGGGUAGGGGCACGCGGAACUGUGGGUGGAGCGGUGAAAUGCGUUGAGAUCCACAGGAACUCCGGUGGCGAAGGCGGCGUGCUGGACCCCACCUGACGCUGAGGCGCGAAAGCCAGGGGAGCGAACGGG